rnacentral:rRNA from 1 species
AUUGAACGCUGGCGGCAUGCCUUACACAUGCAAGUCGAACGGCAGCGGGCCCUUCGGGGUGCCGGCGAGUGGCGAACGGGUGAGUAAUGCAUCGGAACGUACCCGGGAGAGGGGGAUAACCGGCCGAAAGGCUGGCUAAUACCGCAUGAACUCGGAAGAGCAAAGCGGGGGACCUUCGGGCCUCGCGCUCUCGGAGCGGCCGAUGUCCGAUUAGGCUAGUUGGUGGGGUAAAGGCCCACCAAGGCGACGAUCGGUAGCGGGUCUGAGAGGACGAUCCGCCACACUGGGACUGAGACACGGCCCAGACGCCUACGGGAGGCAGCAGUGGGGAAUCUUGGACAAUGGGCGCAAGCCUGAUCCAGCAAUGCCGCGUGGGUGAAGAAGGCCUUCGGGUUGUAAAGCCCUUUCGGCGGGGAAGAAAUCGGUCAGGCGAAUAGUCUGGCCGGAUGACGGUACCCGCAGAAGAAGCACCGGCUAACUACGUG